UUCACCAUACUGGCCAGGCUGCUCUCGAACUCCUGACCUCGAUCACGGGACCCCUCUCCUCUAAGAAGGCCCCCGGCUGUCUCCCCGCCACCAAGCUUGCAGCCAGACUCCCUGGCUGUUGCAUGGAGCAUUUUGCUUCUGGAGUGGCUUCCUCAGCCAAAGGGAAUGUGUCAUUUGCUGCUCGAUCCUGCCCCACCCUUGCCGCCCAGCUGUUGUGCUGGGCACAGUCUGGGGCACAGGCCUCCAUGAUGAAGACACGUGGGCUGUCAGUGCUUUCAUCCGUCACAAACUGGCACCUGUACCUGCCAACGGGAGCGUGAUGGGGACUUCCACGCUGGAAUUGCUCCCUGAUUAAAAUGAGAUAUGGCUACCUGGAAGACACUGCAUGCGAGCCAGUGUACCUGGGCACAGACUCGGGGCCACCCUGGAGCUGAUGAAGGCUUGAAGGAUGGAAGGGCUGAGCCCCACGAAGGCAACACUCAGGACCAGGGAAGAGAAAAGAGGAUCAGCAGUGCGGCCCCAGGACGCCUCUCAGGUGCCCUGCUUCCACUUUGGUUACCAUCUCCAGUUCUUCUUAUGGGCUGUGGGCUGUUAUGGUGAUGGACAGAUGUGAAUUUGGAAGGGGACCAUGAGAGAUGAUGUAUUAUGAUGAAUUCGUGAAUUAAUUCUUUGGUGAAAAUAGCACCCUCUGGCCUGAGACCCCAGGAUGAAGCCGGCGCGGUUCUUUGUACUCUCCCAGGGAUCUCAAGAGGUCAAAGGAAGUCACAUGCCUUAAAAGGAGUGUUGCAGCUUAGUCGCCAAGAACUAAGGAUUAUCUGAGCCACCAGGUCUCCUAUCCCCUGUAACUGUGCCUCUUGGAGGUGCUGGGGAACCUGAAGUUCGACAUGAGCUCCAGAUUAUGCUGGCUGGACAGUGGUUCCCAUGACCUGGGAGUCAGGAACUCAGCCUUCAGAAGUCGUGAACUGAACCUCUCCUCCCACCUCCACAUCCACCAGUCUCUACCAAGAGUGAGUCCUCAGGAAGCAGCCGCCACCAUUCGUGAUCAUGUGGGGGGACUGCCAAGUAUUUGUACCCAAUCCAGACACCACCACUGAAAUCAAAGUGCCCCAGUCAGGUCAGUGGGCAGUUCAUUUUCUUUAUUUUUUCACAAGCUUUGAAUUCAGAAAUAAGAGCCACAACAAGUUGGUUGUUAAGUAAAAAUGGGAGUGAUUACAAAGGAAAACUUUGUACAAAACUUUAAAAAUCUGACUGCCCCAUCAACUGCCUCGGAGGGACCAGGACUCAGGCCACCCAGGGGCAGCCAUCACCCCCCCCCCCCCGCAUCGUCAGCCCCGAAUGGGGAUGGGGAGACCUCUUUCUGAGUGUGAACCUGGCUCGGCCUGAAGCCUAGAGCUGGCUUGAAGAACACACACAGACCAGAAGACAGCACGGUGAGUUACAAGUGCCACGGAGACCAGGGUUUCUGACACAGGAUGUGGAGGAUGCUUCUUUGCAACCUAGUGCAAGGCUUCCCCUGCCAUUCCGAGAAUUCACGGAUCUCACGGGUGGGGGUGGGGCGAGCUUCUUUCUAGUGUGGACCAGAGGUGGGGGCAACGAGUAAACAUCUUCACUGCAAGAGGUUUGGGACUGUCCCUCAGGGCUUGAGGUCUCGGCAUCGUGUCUCAGUCAGUCCUUGGUGAUGUCCCCUCAGACGCACUCACAGACUUGCAUACGUAAUUUAGUAACAUGCAUCAACUAUCCUAGAACAUCUACAGGGUGCAAAGGAACCACCACUCAGAGAAUCAUGGAGCCAGUGGAGUUAGAAGUGGAAGGGACAGAACAAGACAAUGCUAAAACCUGUGGUUCACUAGGAAGGGGGGAUGAAAACACCAUGCUCCGAGGUGGAUUCAGCAUGAACACAACUGUGGGGCAAGGAAUUUCCAAGCAAACACACCACACUAGUACCACUUCUUCCUAAACAGAAAAGGGAAAGAGCAUCCUUCGACUUCCCCCUCCCUCCAUCAGCACCAACUAAAACUGUGGGUUUCAAAUACACUGACAGGAAAAGGGAUGGACAUGAUUCCCAGAAUCCUUCACGCUAGCUCCUCUGCGCAUCCGCGUUCAACCGAGGCUGGUGAUGUUGGAGCGGCCACCAGGGGGCGCCACGAUGCGGUGGCCGGUGCGCCUGGGAUUGUUGUCAUCUAUCUGGGCACCUGAAAGAGAGCGCCAGUCGCUGCUGGAUGGGAUCUGUUAACAUCAGUUCCACGCUGCUCCUGGAGGCCAUGUACUCUGCCAUGCCCUGCGCCUUAGCAGAAGCCAUGACCCCUCCCCGUCUUCAGGUGUUCUCCACUGGACCGACCUUCAUUCAGGGCUCAGUCCAGGACCAGCCAUGGGAAGCCUCCCUGGCCUCUGCAGAGUCCACUGCUCCCUCUUCUGUGCCCCUCAGUCCUUGGGCUCUCCCUCCUUCAGCCCUGACCACCUUGUGUUGUCCUUGUCAAAGUCCCCAGUAAAAUCUGACAUUGCUGAGACAGGUGAUCAAACAAGUUACUGAGUGCCUACUGUGUGCAGGCACAAGGCACACACUUGGUGCUCUAACAUGUUACUGCAUUUAGGGCACACAAUCAUACUAUGAAAGGGGUGUUUGUACUCCCAACUUAUGGGUGAGCAAUUUGAGGCUCAGGCCACGUGUCUUGCGGGACACAGGUGUUGGGUGGUGAAGCCAGGAUUGAAGCCCAAACUGGUUGGUUUUCAAAGCCCAUGCUCUUAGGCACGGGUAUUUUACAUAUUGUGUGUGUGCACAUUUGCAUAUGCAUGUGCAUAUGUGUGUGCACGUGCAUGUGAAGUAUGCAAGCUGGAUUUACUUCCCUCGUUGGCAACAGGUGGAUCUGGAGGGGCGUGUGGUGUGCAGAGGUUCUUAAUUUUAAACUUUCAGAACCAACCAUUCAUUCUAAUUUUACAUAUUCUCUUGCAUAAACACGUAAAAUUCUAGCGGCAAACCCAGUGCCUGGAGCUCAACAAAUAUUCUAUUAAAUGCGUAAAUCAUGAAAGAUGGAUAAUGCUGAAAGGUGGGAAGUAUAGAGUCCUAAUCAGGGAGGGGAAGUUGAGCUGGUGGAACCAAGGAAAAGGAAAAAGAUAAAAGCAAAGAAGCUACAGUCUGCCUUUCUUCAUGGUCUAGAACACAGCCUUCCUGCACAAAUAACUCACAAUCUUCCUGCACGCAACUUAUCACCAGACCCUCGGCUAAUAGAAAAACGUCAGUUAGCUCACUGCAUCCACAGCAUUAUCGGUACUGCACAAAGCCCUCUUCAGCACACAGCAUAAGCACCAUCCUAUACAAUCUCCAGCAAGCCUUUGUUUCCUUGCAGUCAGCUCCUUUCUUGCUGACCUACCCACUGCACCCUUUCAUACUUUUUCUAAUAAAUCUGACUUUCUUUACCUACAA